AAUUUUUAUAAACCUGACAUCAUUUAAUGUUUUCUUUUCCUUUAUUUUUGCAUUCACUUUUUCAGCUGGACAUGCCUAAUGAUCAGAUACUUGCCAAUCUGGACAGUAUUAUUAAAGACAUUUGCAAACACAAAUCUUCAAAGCAUGGUCCUUUUGUAACAAGUAUGAGCAUUCGAAGUUCAACCAGUGAAGCCUUAGAUGUGAAAGUGGAACAGUUUCUUCCCAAAGAAGCUCUGGGGCAGAAGUUGGAAGAAGCUGAAAAGAUCAGCGAAGAAGAAAAACAAGAACCAGAUGAUUAGAAGGGCAGUUCUUGUAGCUUCAUCCAGAGUUUCCCCACAAGUUCUGGUCCUGAAGGGGAAGUUUGCAACAAUCUCGGGAGACAAUUGAAUUGUCCUCAAACCUGAAGCCUCUUAGUGCUGUUAGAUCAACAGUCCCCAAAAUUUGGGGCCUAGAAAUAUCUAGGAAUCACUGAUAUUACAGGCUCAGCACAUGUGGAGAGCCUGCCUGCUCUGACACCAAUGUUUCAAUGCAAAUCCUUCUCCGUUUGUAAAAAAAGAUGUAAUUGCUCAACAUUUUAUUAAAAAUGAAAAGCUUUGUGUACAGUUUUUAUUGAUCAUGGAAGCCUUCGUGUCCCUUUCUGUUUUAGUUGUGUGUUUUUUUCCAUCCACAGAUUCCCAGGUGUGGCUAAUGGAAAAGAAUCAGGGCCCUUUCCUCCCCUGUAAGCCACACAACCCACGUUGCUCUCUUCUCCGUUCCUCCUUACAUGCCCUAGAACAGAAUGGGCCUGUCUUCCUCUGAACUCCCUCUCCCUUCUAUCUCUUCCCUGCUCUGCCCAGCCGGACUUCGCCCUUCCUCAGUUUCCUCCACAGCCAAUGGAGCCAGACUCCCACCCCGUCAGCUGUUCGUCUUCCUCAGAUUCAGACUCCAACAGAGGCAUGACACCUGCAUUAGAUGCUUUCAAAGCGUGUUCAGAUAGUUCUCAACUUACAACCAUUCGUUUAAUGACCGUUCAAAGUUACAACAGUCCUGCAAAAAAAGUGA
rnacentral:lncRNA from 1 species